rnacentral:rRNA from 1 species
GUGCCAGCCGCCGCGGUAAUACGAAUGGGGCAAGCGUUGUUCGGAUUUACUGGGCGUAAAGCGGGCGUAGGCGGCCGGCUAAGUCGGAUGUGAAAUCCCGGGGCUCAACUCCGGAACUGCAUUCGAUACUGGUCGGCUAGAGUUCGAGAGGGGGAUGCGGAAUUCCGCGUGUAGCAGUGAAAUGCGUAGAUAUGCGGAGGAACACCUGAGGCGAAGGCGGCAUCCUGGAUCGACACUGACGCUGAGGCCCGAAAGCCAGGGGAGCGAACCGGAUUAGAUACCCGGGUAGUCCUGGCCGUAAACGAUGGAUGCUAGAUGUGGGCGGGGAGACCCGUCCGUGUCGCAAGCUAACGCGUUAAGCAUCCCGCCUGGGGAGUACGGCCGCAAGGUUGAAACUUAAAGGAAUUGACGGGG